rnacentral:rRNA from 1 species
GACGAACGCUGGCGGCGUGCCUAACACAUGCAAGUCGAGCGAGUGGAGUUCUUCGGAACAAAGCUAGCGGCGGACGGGUGAGUAACACGUGGGCAACCUGCCUCAUAGAGGGGAAUAGCCUCCCGAAAGGGAGAUUAAUACCGCAUAAGAUUGUAGCUUCGCAUGAAGUAGCAAUUAAAGGAGCAAUCCGCUAUGAGAUGGGCCCGCGGCGCAUUAGCUAGGUGGUGAGGUAACGGCUCACCAAGGCGACGAUGCGUAGCCGACCAGAGAGGGUGAUCGGCCACAUUGGGACUGAGACACGGCCCAGACUCCUACGGGAGGCAGCAGUGGGGAAUAUUGCACAAUGGGGGAAACCCUGAUGCAGCAACGCCGCGUGAGUGAUGACGGCCUUCGGGUUGUAAAGCUCUGUCUUCAGGGACGAUAAUGACGGUACCUGAGGAGGAAGCCACGGCUAACUACGUGCCAGCAGCCGCCGUAAUAC